UUGGAGCUAGGGUUAGGGUUGGGCUUGGAGCUAGGGUUAGGGUUAGGGUUAGGGUUGGAGCUAGGGUUAGGGUUAGGGUUAGGGUUGGAGCUAGGGUUAGGGUUAGGGUUAGGGUUGGAGCUAGGGUUAGGGUUAGGGUUAGGGUUGGAGCUAGGGUUAGGGUUGGAGCUAGGGUUAGGGUUAGGGUUAGGGUUGGAGCUAGAGUUAGGGUUGCAGCUAAGGUUAGGGUU